GGGAGCAUGUGCACGCCCGUCACCUUUAUUUCUCCACCUGUGCACACACUGUAG
rnacentral:rRNA from 1 species